rnacentral:rRNA from 1 species
UACGGAGGGUGCGAGCGUUAAUCGGAAUUACUGGGCGUAAAGGGUGUGUAGGUGGUUUAUUAAGUUAGCUGUGAAAGGCCUGGGCUCAACCUAGGUAUGUCAGCUAAGACUGGUGGACUUGAGUAUAGGAGAGGGUAGUGGAAUUUCCGGUGUAGCGGUGAAAUGCGUAGAGAUCGGAAGGAACACCAGUGGCGAAGGCGUCUACCUGGCCUAAUACUGACACUGAGGCACGAAAGCGUGGGGAGCAAACAGG